CCUACGGGUGGCAGCAGUGAGGAAUAUUGGUCAAUGGACGAGAGUCUGCACCAGCCACGUAGCGUGAAGGAUUACUGCCCUAUGGGUUGUAAACUUCUUUUAUAUGGGAAUAAAAUGUUCCACGUGUGGGAUUUUGUAUGUACCAUAUGAAUAAGGAUCGGCUAACUCCGUGCAAGCAGCCGCGGUAAUACGGAGGAUCCGAGCGUUAUCCGGAUUUAUUGGGUGUAAAGGGAGCGUAGGUGGAUUGUUAAGUCAGUUGUGAAAGUGUGCGGCUCAACCGUAAAAUUGCAGUUGAAACUGGCAGUCUUGAGUACAGUAGAGGUGAGCGGAAUUCGUGGUGUAGCGGUGAAAUGCGUAGAUAUCACGAAGAACUCCGAUGGCGAAGGCAGCUCACUGGACUGCAACUGACACUGAGGCUCGAAAGUGUGGGUAUCAAACAGGAUUAGAUACCCGUGUAGUC
rnacentral:rRNA from 1 species